UGGGGAAUUUUGGACAAUGGGGGAAACCCUGAUCCAGCCAUCCCGCGUGUGCGAUGAAGGCCUUCGGGUUGUAAAGCACUUUUGGCAGGAAAGAAACGUCGCGGGUUAAUACCCCGCGGAACUGACGGUACCUGCAGAAUAAGCACCGGCUAACUACGUGCCAGCAGCCGCGGUAAUACGUAGGGUGCAAGCGUUAAUCGGAAUUACUGGGCGUAAAGCGUGCGCAGGCGGUUCGGAAAGAAAGAUGUGAAAUCCCAGAGCUUAACUUUGGAACUGCAUUUUUAACUACCGGGCUAGAGUGUGUCAGAGGGAGGUGGAAUUCCGCGUGUAGCAGUGAAAUGCGUAGAUAUGCGGAGGAACACCGAUGGCGAAGGCAGCCUCCUGGGAUAACACUGACGCUCAUGCACGAAAGCGUGGGGAGCAAACAGGAUUAGAUACCCUGGUAGUCCACGCCCUAAAACGAUGUCAACUAGCUGUUGGGGUCUUCGGACCUUGGUAGCGCAGCUAACGCGUGAAGUUGACCGCCUGGGGAGUACGGUCGCAAGAUUAAAAACUUAAAUGAAUUG
rnacentral:rRNA from 1 species